rnacentral:rRNA from 1 species
UGCAAGUCGAACGCGUCUCCGUUAAUGAUUUUAGGUGCUUGCACUUGAAAGAUUUAACAUUGAGACGAGUGGCGAACUGGUGAGUAACACGUGGGUAACCUGCCCUUGAAGUAGGGGAUAACACUUGGAAACAGGUGCUAAUACCGUAUAACAACCAAAACCACCUGGUUUUGGUUUAAAAGACGGCUUCGGCUGUCACUUUAGGAUGGACCCGCGGCGUAUUAGCUUGUUGGUAAGGUAACGGCUUACCAAGGCGAUGAUACGUAGCCGACCUGAGAGGGUAAUCGGCCACAUUGGGACUGAGACACGGCCCAAACUCCUACGGGAGGCAGCAGUAGGGAAUCUUCCACAAUGGACGAAAGUCUGAUGGAGCAACGCCGCGUGAGUGAUGAAGGGUUUCGGCUCGUAAAACUCUGUUGUUGGAGAAGAACAGGUGUCAGAGUAACUGUUGACAUCUUGACGGUAUCCAACCAGAAAGCCACGGCUAACUACGUGCCAGCAGCCGCGGUAAUACGUAGGUGGCAAGCGUUGUCCGGAUUUAUUGGGCGUAAAGCGAGCGCAGGCGGUUUUUUAGGUCUGAUGUGAAAGCCUUCGGCUUAACCGGAGAAGUGCAUCGGAAACCGGGAGACUUGAGUGCAGAAGAGGACAGUGGAACUCCAUGUGUAGCGGUGAAAUGCGUAGAUAUAUGGAAGAACACCAGUGGCGAAGGCGGCUGUCUGGUCUGUAACUGACGCUGAGGCUCGAAA